rnacentral:rRNA from 1 species
AGUGAAUAGAUACCCGGGUAGUCCUAGCCGUAAACGAUACUCGCUAGGUGUCGGCCACGGUGCGACCGUUGUCGGUGCCGUAGGGAAAGCCGUGAAGCGAGCCACCUGGGAAGUACGGCCGCAAGGCUGAAACUUAAAGGAAUUGGCGGGGGAGCACCACAGCGGGUGGAGCUUGCGGUUUAAAUUGGAUUUAACGUCCGGAAAUCUUACCGGGUACCGGACAGCGAUAUGAAGGCCAGGCUGAAGACCUUGCCGGAUUAGCUGAGAGGUGGUGCAUGGCCGUCGUCAGUUCGUACUGUGAAAGCAUCCUGUUAAGUCAGGCAACGAGCGAGACCCACGCCCACAGUUGCCAGCGUACUCUCCGGAGUGACGGGUACACUGUGGGGACCGCCGCUGCUAAAGCGGAGGAAGGAAUGGGCAACGGUAGGUCAGUAUGCCCCGAAUAUCCCGGGCUACACGCGAGCUACAAUGGUUGGUACAAUGGGUAUCUACCCCGAAAGGGGAUGGAAAUCUCCUAAAUCCAAUCUUAGUUCGGAUUGAGGGCUGCAACUCGCCCUC